rnacentral:lncRNA from 1 species
CAAGCACUGGGCACGCUCUUCCCGCAGCCACCUUUUCUUUUGCACAUGUAGCAGAUUGUCAUUAGUAUUAAUUAAGUGGAAGUUCUGCCAAGUGUUAGGUAAUUAAUGAACUAAGCCAGGCCAGGCCACAGAUUGGGGACCAAAGGCUGAAGGCAGCCAGCGUUGGAGCACUACUAAAGUAACAAGACCCAGCAGAGCCUGCAGAAACAAUAUGAGGCUUCUCAAACCAUCUGGUUGGCUGUUAUGGAAAACAUCUGCAUCACCAUGAAGUGAGUUGGGUCAAAAGAGAGUGACUGGCCCAAGGUCACCCAGAUGGCUUUUAUGGCUAAGGCAGGAUUUCAACACACCAUCGCCUGGUGCCUUAACCACUACACCAAAAGGAAGCCAGCUCCUCAUUGAAUCAGUCCCAAAAAUCAACCUCCAGAUGACACCUGUCUUCUUUCAAAGGAUACAGCUUGUGCUGAGGGCCAUACACCAGAAAUGGAGAGACCAGACUCAAAUUUGGCACUAUACUAAUAAUUUGGGAAUUGCAACUCCGAAAAUUCCUAGCCAGCCUAGAUGGUAG